UACAUGGGGUGCAAACGUUGCUCGGAAUUAUUGGGGCGUAAAGCGCACGUAGGCGGUUUGUUAAGUCGGAUGUGAAAUCCCUCGGCUCAACUGAGGAAGUGCAUCCGAAACUGGCAGGCUUGAGUACUAAAGAGGGUCGCGGAAUUCCCGGUGUAGAGGUGAAAUUCGUAGAUAUCGGGAGGAACACCGGUGGCGAAGGCGGCGACCUGGGUAGAUACUGACGCUGAGGUGCGAAAGCGUGGGGAGCAAACAGG
rnacentral:rRNA from 1 species